AGCGGGUCGUGGUCCUGCACGGCGUGCAAGACUGGCCAGACGAAAGCCGCGACGGCGAUUCCGUCGACCGAUGGCACAGGCAAAGAGACUGCGAGUGCGUGUAGCGCCGCGGAGACGUGCGCAGCGAACCAUUACCUGACCUUGGAUGCUGACAGCGGCAAGGACUACUGCAAGGCGUGCCCGGAAGGCACGACGAGCCCAGCCGGCGGCUCGGCGAGAGCGUGCACGUGUGGCGAAGCGGGGACACAGUACCUUGAGGAUGACGAGUGCAAGACGUGUCCGAGCACGUCAACCUGCCCAUCCCUUUCAUGCUCCGCACUGACCGAAUGCACGUGUCCGGCAAACCACUACGUCGAGAAAUCCGGGAACUCGUGGUCCUGCACGGCGUGCAAGACUGGCCAGACGAAAGACGCGUCUAAUGUUGGAACCGACCAGGCUGCAACAACUUGUAGCGCCGCGGAGACGUGCGCAGCGAACCAUUACCUGACCUUGGAUGCUGACAGCGGCAAGGACUACUGCAAGGCGUGCCCGGAAGGCACGACGAGCUCUGGCGGCUCGGCGAGAGCGUGCACGUGUGGUGGGACACAGUACUUUGAGGAUGGCGAGUGCAAGGACUGCCCGAGCACGUCAACCUGCCCAUCCCUUUCAUGCUCCGCACUGACCGAAUGCACGUGUCCGGCAAACCACUACGUCGAGAAAUCCGGGAACUCGUGGUCCUGCACGGCGUGCAAGACUGGCCAGACGAAAGACGCGUCUAAUGUUGGAACCGACCAGGCUGCAACAACUUGUAGCGCCGCGGAGACGUGCGCAGCGAACCAUUACCUGACCUUGGAUGCUGACAGCGGCAAGGACUACUGCAAGGCGUGCCCGGAAGGCACGACGAGCUCUGGCGGCUCGGCGAGAGCGUGCACGUGUGGUGGGACACAGUACUUUGAGGAUGGCGAGUGCAAGGACUGCCCGAGCACGUCAACCUGCCCAUCCCUUUCAUGCUCCGCACUGACCGAAUGCACGUGUCCGGCAAACCACUACGUCGAGAAAUCCGGGAACUCGUGGUCCUGCACGGCGUGCAAGACUGGCCAGACGAAAGACGCGUCUAAUGUUGGAACCGACCAGGCUGCAACAACUUGUAGCGCCGCGGAGACGUGCGCAGCGAACCAUUACCUGACCUUGGAUGCUGACAGCGGCAAGGACUACUGCAAGGCGUGCCCGGAAGGCACGACGAGCUCUGGCGGCUCGGCGAGAGCGUGCACGUGUGGUGGGACACAGUACUUUGAGGAUGGCGAGUGCAAGGACUGCCCGAGCACGUCAACCUGCCCAUCCCCUCCAUGCUCCGCACUGACCGAAUGCACGUGUCCGGCGAACCACUACGUCGAGAAAUCCGGGAACUCGUGGUCCUGCACGGCGUGCAAGACUGGCCAGACGAAAGACGCGUCUAACGUCGGAACCGAAGAGGCUGCAACAACUUGUAACGCCGCGACGUCGUGCGAAGCGAACCAUUACCUGACCUUGGAUGACGGUAACGGCGGUAGCAACAAGAACUACUGCGAGGCGUGCCCGGC
rnacentral:lncRNA from 1 species